GCGGGGGAUAACUAUUGGAAACGAUAGCUAAUACCGCAUAAGAGUAGAUGUUGCAUGACAUUUACUUAAAAGGUGCAAUUGCAUCACUACCAGAUGGACCUGCGUUGUAUUAGCUAGUUGGUGGGGUAACGGCUCACCAAGGCGACGAUACAUAGCCGACCUGAGAGGGUGAUCGGCCACACUGGGACUGAGACACGGCCCAG
rnacentral:rRNA from 1 species